ACCAGGUAUAACAGUGGUAAGGUGUUGGGACUCUGCUGAUAACCAGGUCUAACAGUGGAAAGGUGUUGGGACUCUGCUGUUGGGACUCUGCUGCUGGGACUCUGCUGAUAACCAGGUAUAACAGUGGUAAGGUGUUGGGACUCUGUUGAUAACCAGGUAUAACAGUGGUAAGGUGUUGGGACUCUGCUGAUAACCAGGUAUAACAGUGGUAAGGUGUUGGGACUCUGCUGAUAACCAGGUAUAACAGUGGUAAGGUGUUGGGACUCUGCUGUUGGGACUCUGCUGAUAACCAGGUAUAACAGUGGUAAGGUGUUGGGACUCUGCUGAUAACCAGGUAUAACAGUGGUAAGGUGUUGGGACUCUGCUGAUAACCAGGUAUAACAGUGGUAAGUUGUUGGGACUCUGCUGUUGGGACUCUGUUGAUAACCAGGUAUAACAGUGGAAAGGUGUUGGGACUCUGCUGUUGGGACUCUGUU
ensembl:lncRNA